UCUCUCAUUUUCACCGAUUUGCUUAUUGUCUGUGAUGAAAUUGGAUUUUUUUUUGCUUCGAAAUUGACAUUUUUGGGGUGAUUUAAAAAAAAAGAACAAAAAAGGCAUUAUCAAAAUUGCUUUGAGUGAAAAUAUUUAACAAAUUCAUUCUUCCCCCACCCCGCAUAAGCCUCACGUGCCUGUCCAUUUGGUUUGUUUUGGUAUUUUGUUGCAUAUAUUGAACACAACAACUUUAAAUCUUAAAGGGACAUUUAAGCUUUAACAGGCCUAAAAUUGCCUUCUUCGGACCGAAAACACCCGCGUGUGAAAAUAUGAUAUAAAAUGGCCAAAUGGACAGAUAAUCCAGCCAAACUUAAUAUUUUGCUGCAAUAUGCAUAUGAAGAUAAUAAUAUGCAAGAAAAACACAUUUUAAUCAGAAUAAAUUUCUCCUUUAGGUUACAAUAUACUAAAAUAUUUUGGAGUGCAAUGCUAUACUCUCUAAAAACAUGAACAUCAUUUAUAAGAAGACACAAUUCUCUGUAGGGGCACUUGCCAUGGCUUUAUUUUAGAAUGUUUCUUUGUGCAUGUGGUAGGGAAAACAUUGAUGUUUAACAGAAAUGCACUCUUUUGCUUGAAGGUUGGAGACUACAUGAGACUUUGACAGAUGGCGGGAAACCCUUCUCAACUGGUACGAAGCCGGUAGAGAAAUGUCUGGGACUUAGCCGAGGGCAACUGGAGAAGGGUUGUUGAUGGCAAAACAGGCAAUAAUACUAAAUUAUUAUUAUGUACACAAGCAAAUAAGCAUAGUUAUGAUGUUUAAGGUGUGAAAUACUGUCAUAAUAUGGUUUGUGGUCACUCAAAUCCUUGCCGUCGUGCAAUUCCCCGUGCAGUUUGUAUUGAUAGCUCCGCGUCCUGACACGUAAAGCUCGUGCUUUGUUGGCAGCAGAAGUUGGCACUUAACAGGUUUAUCCUUGCUCCUAAGCAUGUAUGCAGUACAUCUGAGUUGAUAUGCUACUUGUAACCCUACAAUUAGCUUGUGUUUGGUAUUGUUUCCUCACAAUAUGCUUACAGUCAUGGUCCCGGCUUGAAAGGAUGUGGCGUCCGACUUAAACAUAGGAUUGUUGUAGCAAGUGUCCCCUUCAUCAUUUACCUUAGAGGGAUCUUUUUGCCAAAAUUUGGCAUUUCAGCAACCAGUUUUGUUUUUUAUUUGGUACAUGCUUCUCUCAUUCAGUGAUUUAAGGGAAGUAUUGACCUUAUUCGCUUGUCUUUGCAUACAAAGGUGACAUGGAUCAAUGAUAUUUGUUGUGUUGAGAAUUCUGCGGGAAGCUGUGUCCCCAAAAGAAGUACCAGAAACCCCUUCCAGGAAGCUUGCAUUGAUCUGAACUGCCUUUCUGCCCCUGUUACAACAUGAAACCUCAUUUCUAAGCUUAUAAUGCUUUCCUACAUGUGUGUGUCUUGUUCAUUUUAACCUUUCCUUCCAUUCUAAACCCCAAAAAUGAGCAUUUUUGUCUUUGGCUCGGUUAUGAAGCGCCAUUUUGACCAGAUUGCCACCAUCAAAAUAGUCAAAAGUACUUAUUUUGUGCCCAAAAUAUGAAAUUUUGUAUUCUCUUCAACCUCUUAAUGAGAGCUGGCAGUGAAUAUUGACCAUCUUCUUCAGUUUAAAGGCACCCAUGACAUUAUAUGCUAGAAUAUAUAAUUGGCAGCUGGUAAACAAAUUGGCUCCGAGCAACAAGGCGCUUUCAAGAUUUUACACUUUUAUUGGUGCGAAACAACAAGUUAUUGGAAGCUUAUGGAUUUCUACACUUCAAAGUAUCUUUGAUCUUUCAUUUUCACCAAUUUGCUUAUUGUCUGUGAUGAAAUUGGAUUUUUUUUGCUUUGAAAUUGACAUUUUUGGGGUGAUUUAAAAAAAAAAGAACAAAAAAGGCAUUAUCAAAAUUGCUUUGAGUGAAAAUAUCUAACAAAUUCAUUCUUUCCCCACCCCGCAUAAGCCCCACGUGCCUGUCCAUUUGGUUUGUUUUGGUAUUUUGUUGCAUAUAUUGAACACAACAACUUUAAAUCUUAAAGGGACAUUUAAGCUUUAACAGGCCUAAAAUUGCCUUCUUCGGACCGAAAACACCCGCGUGUGAAAAUAUGAUAUAAAAUGGCCAAAUGGACAGAUAAUCCAGCCAAACCUAAUAUUUUGCUGCAAUAUGCAUAGGAAGAUAAUAAUAUGCAAGAAAAACACAUUUUAAUCAGAAUAAAUUUCUCCUUUAGGUUACAAUAUACUAAAAUAUUUUGGAGUGCAAUGCUAUACUCUCUAAAAACAUGAACAUCAUUUAUAAGAAGACACAAUUCUCUGUAGGGGCACUUGCCAUGGCUUUAUUUUAGAAUGUUUCUUUGUGCAUGUGGUAGGGAAAACAUUGAUGUUUAACAGAAAUGCACUCUUUUGCUUGAAGGUUGGAGACUACAUGAGACUUUGACAGAUGGCGGGAAACCCUUCUCAACUGGUACGAAGCCGGCAAAUAGAUGGCCAUAAAACAGUGACCGCUGAUUCGCGUCGAGUUCUUUCUUGCAUAACGUUGGAGACUACAUGAGACUUUGACAGAUGGCGGGAAACCCUUCUCAACUGGUACGAAGCCGGCAAAUAGAUGGCCAUAAAACAGUGACCGCUGAUUCGCGUCGAGUUCUUUCUUGCAUAACGUUGGAGACUACAUGAGACUUUGACAGAUGGCGGGAAACCCUUCUCAACUGGUACGAAGCCGGAUAAUAGAUGGCCAUAAAACAGUGACCGCUGAUUCGCGUCGAAUUCUUUCUUGCAUAACGUAGGGAAAUGUCUGGGACUUAGCCGAGGGCAACUGGAGAAGGGUUGUUGAUGGCAAAACAGGUUGGAGACUACAUGAGACUUUGACAGAUGGCGGGAAACCCUUCUCAACUGGUACGAAGCCGGAUAAUAGAUGGCCAUAAAACAGUGACCGCUGAUUCGCGUCGAAUUCUUUCUUGCACAACGUAGGGAAAUGUCUGGGACUUAGCCGAGGGCAACUGGAGAAGGGUUGUUGAUGGCAAAACAGGUUGGAGACUACAUGAGACUUUGACAGAUGGCGGGAAACCCUUCUCAACUGGUACGAAGCCGGAUAAUAGAUGGCCAUAAAACAGUGACCGCUGAUUCGCGUCGAAUUCUUUCUUGCACAACGUAGGGAAAUGUCUGGGACUUAGCCGAGGGCAACUGGAGAAGGGUUGUUGAUGGCAAAACAGGUUGGAGACUACAUGAGACUUUGACAGAUGGCGGGAAACCCUUCUCAACUGGUACGAAGCCGGAUAAUAGAUGGCCAUAAAACAGUGACCGCUGAUUCGCGUCGAAUUCUUUCUUGCACAACGUAGGGAAAUGUCUGGGACUUAGCCGAGGGCAACUGGAGAAGGGUUGUUGAUGGCAAAACAGGUUGGAGACUACAUGAGACUUUGACAGAUGGCGGGAAACCCUUCUCAACUGGUACGAAGCCGGAUAAUAGAUGGCCAUAAAACAGUGACCGCUGAUUCGCGUCGAAUUCUUUCUUGCACAACGUAGGGAAAUGUCUGGGACUUAGCCGAGGGCAACUGGAGAAGGGUUGUUGAUGGCAAAACAGGUUGGAGACUACAUGAGACUUUGACAGAUGGCGGGAAACCCUUCUCAACUGGUACGAAGCCGGAUAAUAGAUGGCCAUAAAACAGUGACCGCUGAUUCGCGUCGAAUUCUUUCUUGCACAACGUAGGGAAAUGUCUGGGACUUAGCCGAGGGCAACUGGAGAAGGGUUGUUGAUGGCAAAACAGGUUGGAGACUACAUGAGACUUUGACAGAUGGCGGGAAACCCUUCUCAACUGGUACGAAGCCGGAUAAUAGAUGGCCAUAAAACAGUGACCGCUGAUUCGCGUCGAAUUCUUUCUUGCACAACGUAGGGAAAUGUCUGGGACUUAGCCGAGGGCAACUGGAGAAGGGUUGUUGAUGGCAAAACAGGUUGGAGACUACAUGAGACUUUGACAGAUGGCGGGAAACCCUUCUCAACUGGUACGAAGCCGGAUAAUAGAUGGCCAUAAAACAGUGACCGCUGAUUCGCGUCGAAUUCUUUCUUGCACAACGUAGGGAAAUGUCUGGGACUUAGCCGAGGGCAACUGGAGAAGGGUUGUUGAUGGCAAAACAGGUUGGAGACUACAUGAGACUUUGACAGAUGGCGGGAAACCCUUCUCAACUGGUACGAAGCCGGAUAAUAGAUGGCCAUAAAACAGUGACCGCUGAUUCGCGUCGAAUUCUUUCUUGCAUAACGUAUGACCCCCCAUUUUUAUUGUUUAAAUCAUUGCGGCUUGGAAUGCUCUUUAAG